AAACUUCCUAAGAAUACAUGAUAAUAUGAUUCCAUCCCAUUAUUGUAGUUAAACUAUUAUUUACUUUUCUAUACACACAUAGAGUACAACAACAUUUCCUUAACGUACGAGCAAGAAAACAUCGGAAUUCCGAAAGUUUGACAAGUCUCUCAAUCCCAAAUACCGGACCCUACGCAAAUUAUGGCAUUGUCGAUUCGUCUGGUUUUUUAGGACCUUCCAGUGAUAAUGUGUUUUGAAAUUACCGCUUUUGAUAAGAGGUACAACAAAUGUCCCUGAUUUUUCGUCGGCUUUGUAAUUGAUCCAUUAAAUGUGUAUGCGGAUCAUACAACCUUCUGACAAAUUUACAACGCAUAUGCACACUGACAAAAUUCGAUGUAAACACCUAAAGCGAUUCAACCGCCCGUAAAAUGAUGACAUGGAUUUCAAAAACAACAACAAAAUUCGAACUUUAGCUUUUACAUACUACUCCAUGUGCGUUUGUCUAUCCUUUGUAUAAGAUGCUCAUGAUGCAAAAAAAUACGGUCAGGGAGGGACUCGAACCCUCGACCUCACGAUUAACAGUCGUGCGCAAUAACCAACUAUGCUACCCGACCUUCUUGCUUACCU